rnacentral:rRNA from 1 species
GGAAGGUCCGGGCGUUAUCCGGAUNUAUUGGGUNUAAAGGGAGCGUAGACGGCAUGGCAAGCCAGAUGUGAAAGCCCGGGGCUCAACCCCGGGACUGCAUNUGGAACUGUCAGGCUAGAGUGUCGGAGAGGAAAGCGGAAUUCCUAGUGUAGCGGUGAAAUGCGUAGAUAUUACGAAGAACUCCGAUUGCGAAGGCAGCUCACUGGAGCGCAACUGACGCUGAAGCUCGAAAGUGCGGGUAUCGAACAGGAUUAGAUACCCUGGUAGUCCGCACGGUAAACGAUGGAUGCCCGCUGUUGGUCUGAANAGGUCAGCGGCCAAGCGAAAGCAUUAAGCAUCCCACCUGGGGAGU